GCAAGAGAUAGAUUUACUGAAGAAUUUGAACCACAAAAAUAUUGUGAAAUAUCUUGGAUCCUUAAAGACUAAGAGUCACCUCCACAUAAUUCUUGAAUAUGUGGAAAAUGGCUCACUGGCAAACAUUAUCAAGCCAAAUAAAUUUGGACCCUUUCCAGAAUCACUGGUUG